AGAGUUUCUAUCCUAGUUUUGUCGAGGAUGAAGUCUUCAAUCAGUAUUGUUGUUAUAUUUGUUAUGAUACAUAUUGGACAAAUAUUUGCCGCUUGCAAGAAAGGUAAAGAUAAUCGAUAAAGGUUUUUCUCUUUAAUCAAAUAGUUGAUGCAUGUUAAGAACUAUUGAAAGCUGUGUGGUCUGUUAUGUUUCUAUUGCUUAUUGAAAACAAUUCAUAUUUUUACUUUGUUCGUAAGACUGUGUUGAAGUUCUGUACAUUGUAAGAGGGCUAAUUACACAAAAUAUCAUACUCCCUGACAUCUUUGUCGACUUCAAAGAAGAGUCUUACCAAGAUUUAGAGGACCCCCUAAUUGUUUAUCUCCCCACAUUCAGAUUGAAUAAGUUCAUCUAUUUAAUUGAACCUUCGUUUUGUAGCCAUGUCGCAGUAUUGCUGUGUAUUAUUAUGUUCAUCAAAGAAUCUUUUUGUUAGCUUACAAGGCUAGUAUCUACGUUUGAUAAUUUAUUUAGCAGAUUAAAAGAAAAUUUUAAUAUGUUAUAAUAAUGCGAAUAUUUGAAACAUUUAAUGUCAUGUUUUAGAUAAUGGUUUAUCUGAAGACCUGCUGAACCUGUUAUGUAGAUCUCGAAAACAUCAAACUCAAAUUGAAGGUUUGUUCAAUUUUGUUGGAUUUUAUUUUUUAUGUAGAUAUAAGAAGAUAUACUACAUAAAAUUGAGAAUGGAAAUGUAUACAUGUAUAUCAUUUCUUUUGAUUUUCAAAUCAUACAAGUUUUAUAUUUCAAGCACCGAAUAAGAAAUAUUCAGAGCACACUUUUUCUACAAAUGCUUUUUACUAGUUUUGUGAUCUUAUUUAUUGACUUUGUUUUAAAUAAGUUAAAUUCAUUUUUUUUAUAAUUUGCUCUUAGGAUUUACAAGGAAAACCCUUCCUGCAUUUACUGCAUCGCUGACAGCAACAAAGGCCCUUGGAGCAAGAGCAACUGAACACGGGGGAUAUUUAUAAUCCAUCAACAGGCGUGUUCACAGUACCAAUGGAUGGUCUAUAUUUCGUGUCAAGUUCUUUGAUGUCUGUUAAAGGACAACAUCUACACUGUCACAUGUGAAAAAAUGGUCAGUCUAAUGUCGGAGCGUUUGGUACAGGGUGGUCUCAAGGUACUUUGAAUGCUGUAAUGGACUUGACGAAAGGUGACAUAUUAUCAAUACGUCACCACAAUUCCAGUGCUGAGGAUGUUUAUGGUGGACACUGGUCAAUGUUCUCGGUGUACCUGAUAUCUGAAUGAAAUAAAUAAUAAAAGUUAAACAAUGUCUUUGUAUAUUUUGUCAUUAUUAUUA
rnacentral:lncRNA from 1 species